UACGGGGGGGGCAAGCGUUGUUCGGAAUUACUGGGCGUAAAGGGCGCGUAGGCGGCCUGCUAAGUCGGAUGUGAAAUCCCUCGGCUCAACCGAGGAACUGCAUCCGAUACUGGCGGGCUUGAAUCCGGGAGAGGGAUGUGGAAUUCCAGGUGUAGCGGUGAAAUGCGUAGAUAUCUGGAGGAACACCGGUGGCGAAGGCGGCUCACUGGCCCGGUACUGACGCUGAGGUGCGAAAGCGUGGGGAGCAAACAGG
rnacentral:rRNA from 1 species